rnacentral:rRNA from 1 species
AUUGAACGCUGGCGGCAGGCCUAACACAUGCAAGUCGAACGGACCCUUCGGGGUUAGUGGCGGACGGGUGAGCAACACGUGGGAACGUGCCUUUUGGUUCGGAAUAGCUCCUGGAAACGGGUGGUAAUGCCGAAUGUGCCCUUUGGGGGAAAGAUUUAUCGCCAUUAGAGCGGCCCGCGUCUGAUUAGCUAGUUGGUGAGGUAAAGGCUCACCAAGGCGACGAUCAGUAGCUGGUCUGAGAGGAUGACCAGCCACAUUGGGACUGAGACACGGCCCAAACUCCUACGGGAGGCAGCAGUGGGGAGUCUUGCGCAAUGGGCGAAAGCCUGACGCAGCCAUGCCGCGUGAAUGAUGAAGGUCUUAGGAUUGUAAAAUUCUUUCACCGGGGACGAUAAUGACGGUACCCGGAGAAGAAGCCCCGGCUAACUCCGUGCCAGCAGCCGCCGCGGUAA